AAUGAACGUUGGCGGCGUGGAUUAGGCAUGCAAGUCGUGCGAGAAUCGUAGCAAUACGAGGACAGCGGCGAAAGGGAGAGGAACACGUGGAUACCUACCCUCGGGAUCGGGAUAGCUGCGGGAAACUGCAGGUAAUACCGAAUAACAUCUUCGGAUCAAAGGUGUGAUUCCGCCCGGGGACGGGUCCGCGUCCUAUUAGCUAGUUGGUGGGGUAACGGCCUACCAAGGCAAAGAUGGGUACGGGGUGUGAGAGCAUGCCCCCGCUCACUGGGACUGAGAUACUGCCCAGACACCUACGGGUGGCUGCAGUCGGGAAUCUUCGGCAAUGGGCGCAAGCCUGACCGAGCGACGCCGCGUACGGGAUGAAGGCCUUCGGGUUGUAAACCGUUGUCAGUGGGGAGGAAAUGUCGGUGGGUUCUCCCAUCGAUUUGACCUAUCCGCAGAGGAAGGACGGGCUAAGUUCGUGCCAGCCGCCGCGGUAAAAC
rnacentral:rRNA from 1 species